rnacentral:rRNA from 1 species
GAUGAACGCUGGCGGCGUGCCUAAUACAUGCAAGUCGAGCGAACAGACGAGGAGCUUGCUCCUCUGACGUUAGCGGCGGACGGGUGAGUAACACGUGGAUAACCUACCUAUAAGACUGGGAUAACUUCGGGAAACCGGAGCUAAUACCGGAUAAUAUAUUGAACCGCAUGGUUCAAUAGUGAAAGACGGUUUUGCUGUCACUUAUAGAUGGAUCCGCGCCGCAUUAGCUAGUUGGUAAGGUAACGGCUUACCAAGGCAACGAUGCGUAGCCGACCUGAGAGGGUGAUCGGCCACACUGGAACUGAGACACGGUCCAGACUCCGACGGGAGGCAGCAGUAGGGAAUCUUCCGCAAUGGGCGAAAGCCUGACGGAGCAACGCCGCGUGAGUGAUAAAGGUCUUCGGAUCGUAAAACUCUGUUAUUAGGGAAGAACAAAUGUGUAAGUAACUAUGCACGUCUUGACGGUACCUAAUCAGAAAGCCACGGCUAACUACGUG